GUAGCCUCCAUGGUGCUUGGAGAAGGCUGUGACUUUCUGAGUGAUACCCCAUUUCAGCCAUUUAGCCCCUCUUCAUCAGAGAACCUUGUUCAUGAUUGGAUGCAGAGAUCAAGAUCAUCUGCCUCCUCAAGUGGUCCAGCCUCCCUGCAGUAGGCCCAGAGCAAAGAAGCAGGUAAGCCAAGGAACUGCUUAUCCAGCUUCUUGACCAACUUGCUGGUUUUCACAGUGAUGCUGUGAAGAUGGGGGCCUGCCCAAGCAUUUCCACCAGGGUCCACUGUACAGAGCUGGUCCCAAGUGUCCAAAGUCCAUUUGGCCUCAAUACUGCAGCCAAUAUUUCCCCCAGAAUCAGCAACCCUUUGACCCUUCCC
rnacentral:lncRNA from 1 species